rnacentral:piRNA from 1 species
CUUGAGUCAUUUGCCCUCUCUGA